UACGGGGGGGGGGCAAGCGUUGUUCGGAAUUACUGGGCGUAAAGCGCGCGUAGGCGGCUCUUCAAGUCGAGUGUGAAAGCUCCAGGCUUAACCUGGGAAUUGCGCUCGAUACUGUUGAGCUAGAGUGUGGAAGGGGCAAUCGGAAUUCUUGGUGUAGCGGUGAAAUGCGUAGAUAUCAAGAGGAACACCUGAGGUGAAGACGGGUUGCUGGGCUGAUACUGACGCUGAGGCGCGAAAGCUAGGGUAGCAAACGGG
rnacentral:rRNA from 1 species